rnacentral:rRNA from 1 species
GAUGAACGCUAGCGGCAGGCCUAAUACAUGCAAGUCGAACGGGUGGUCGCAAGACCACUAGUGGCGCACGGGUGCGUAACGCGUAACCAACCUGCCCCGAUCUGGGGGAUAGCCCGCCGAAAGGCGGAUCAAUACCGCAUAUACCCGCAGCCUGGCAUCAGGCAACGGGGAAAGAUUUAUUGGAUCGGGAUGGGGUUGCGUGACAUUAGCUAGUUGGCGGGGUAAGGGCCCACCAAGGCGACGAUGUCUAGGGGACCUGAGAGGGUGAUCCCCCACACUGGCACUGAGAUACGGGCCAGACUCCUACGGGAGGCAGCAGUAGGGAAUAUUGGGCAAUGGGCGAGAGCCUGACCCAGCCAUGCCGCGUGCCGGAUGAAGGCCUUCUGGGUUGUAAACGGCUUUUCUCAGGGAAGAAAAAGACCUUGCGAGGUACACUGACGGUACCUGAGGAAUAAGCACCGGCUAACUCCGUG